rnacentral:rRNA from 1 species
AGAGUUUGAUCAUGGCUCAGGACGAACGCUGGCGGCGUGCUUAACACAUGCAAGUCGAGCGGAAAGGCCCUUCGGGGUACUCGAGCGGCGAACGGGUGAGUAACACGUGAGUAACCUGCCCCUGACUUUGGGAUAAGCCCGGGAAACUGGGUCUAAUACCGGAUAUGACCUGUCGUGGCAUCGCGGUGGGUGGAAAGUUUUUUCGGUUGGGGAUGGACUCGCGGCCUAUCAGCUUGUUGGUGGGGUAAUGGCCUACCAAGGCGACGACGGGUAGCCGGCCUGAGAGGGCGACCGGCCACACUGGGACUGAGACACGGCCCAGACUCCUACGGGAGGCAGCAGUGGGGAAUAUUGCGCAAUGGGCGAAAGCCUGACGCAGCGACGCCGCGUGGGGGAUGACGGCCUUCGGGUUGUAAACCUCUUUCAGCAGGGACGAAGUUGACGUGUACCUGCAGAAGAAGCGCCGGCUAACUACGUGCCAGCAGCGGCGGUAAUUC